rnacentral:rRNA from 1 species
CACGUAGGGGACGAGCGUUAUCCGGAUUCAUUGGGCGUAAAGAGCUCGUAGGCGGCUAUUCAAGUCGAACGUGAAAUCUCGGGGCUCAACUCCGAGCCUGCGUUCGAUACUGGGUAGCUAGAGUCUGGUAGGGGGAUCUGGAAUUCCUGGUGUAGCGGUGGAAUGCGCAGAUAUCAGGAGGAACACCGGUGGCGAAGGCGGGAUCCUGGGCCAGUACUGACGCUGAGGAGCGAAAGCGUGGGGAGCAAACAGG